UACGGAGGGUGCAAGCGUUAUCCGGAUUUACUGGGUUUAAAGGGUGCGUAGGUGGGUAAGUAAGUCAGUGGUGAAAUCUUCGAGCUUAACUCGGAAACUGCCAUUGAUACUAUUUAUCUUGAAUACUUUGGAGGUAAGCGGAAUAUGUCAUGUAGCGGUGAAAUGCUUAGAUAUGACAUAGAACACCAAUUGCGAAGGCAGCUUACUAGACAGUUAUUGACACUGAGGCACGAAAGCGUGGGGAUCAAACAGG
rnacentral:rRNA from 1 species